rnacentral:rRNA from 1 species
CUUGCUUUGAACUGUUUUAGUGGCGGACGGGUGAGUAACGCGUGAGGAACCUGCCUUUCAGAGGGGGAUAACGUCUGGAAACGGACGCUAAUACCGCAUGACAUUUUGUUGCCGCAUGGUGAUAAAAUCAAAGGAGCAAUCCGCUGAGAGAUGGACUCGCGUCCGAUUAGCCGGUUGGCGGGGUAACGGCCCACCAAAGCAACGAUCGGUAGCCGGGCUGAGAGGCUGAACGGCCACAUUGGGACUGAGACACGGCCCAGACUCCUACGGGAGGCAGCAGUGGGGGAUAUUGCACAAUGGAGGAAACUCUGAUGCAGCAACGCCGCGUGAGGGAAGAAGGUUUUCGGAUUGUAAACCUCUGUCCUCAGGGACGAUAAUGACGGUACCUGAGGAGGAAGCUCCGGCUAACUACGUGCCAGCAGCCGCGGUAAUACGUAGGGAGCAAGCGUUGUCCGGAUUUACUGGGUGUAAAGGGUGCGUAGGCGGCACUGCAAGUCAGGUGUGAAAACCAUGGGCUUAACUUAUGGAUUGCACUUGAAACUGUGGUGCUUGAGUGAAGUAGAGGCAGGCGGAAUUCCCGGUGUAGCGGUGAAAUGCGUAGAGAUCGGGAGGAACACCAGUGGCGAAGGCGGCCUGCUGGGCUUUAACUGACGCUGAGGCACGAAAGCAUGGGUAGCAAACAGGAUUAGAUACCCUGGUAGUCCAUGCCGU